GGACAGGUGCUGCAUGGCUGUCGUCAGCUCGUGUCGUGAGAUGUUGGGUUAAGUCCCGCAACGAGCGCAACCCUCGCCUUUAGUUGCCAGCAUUCAGUUGGGCACUCUAAAGGGACUGCCGGUGUCAAACCGGAGGAAGGCGGGGAUGACGUCAAGUCCUCAUGGCCUUUAUGUCCAGGGCUACACACGUACUACAAUGGCCGGUACAAAGGGCGGCGAGUCAGCGAUGACGAGCAAAUCCCGUAAAGCCGGUCUCAGUCCGGAUUGGAGUCUGCAACUCGGCUCCAUGAAGUUGGAAUCGCUAGUAAUCGUGGAUCAGAAUGCCACGGUGAAUACGUUCCCGGGCCUU
rnacentral:rRNA from 1 species